rnacentral:rRNA from 1 species
GACGAACGCUGGCGGCGUGCUUAACACAUGCAAGUCGAACGAUGAAGCUAGAGCUUGCUCUGGUGAAUUAGUGGCGAACGGGUGAGUAACACGUGAGUAACCUGCCCCGAACUCUGGGAUAACUGCUGGAAACGGUAGCUAAUACUGGAUACGACCUACGAAGGCAUCUUCUGUAGGUGGAAAGAAUUUCGGUUCGGGAUGGACUCGCGGCCUAUCAGCUUGUUGGUGAGGUAAUGGCUCACCAAGGCGACGACGGGUAGCCGGCCGGAGAGGGGGACCGGCCACACUGGGACUGAGACACGGCCCAGACUCCUACGGGAGGCAGCAGUGGGGAAUAUUGCACAAUGGGCGCAAGCCUGAUGCAGCAACGCCGCGUGAGGGAUGACGGCCUUCGGGUUGUAAACCUCUUUUAGUAGGGAAGAAGCGAAAGUGACGGUACCUGCAGAAAAAGCACCGGCUAACUACGUGCCAGCCGCCGCAGUAA